CCAGGAGGGGUGGGCAACCACUGGCCCGUGGAUCCCCCGAGGUUUUCUUCUCCCUCAACCUUCAAUUCGGAGUUUUUGUUCCUUUCCCCGGUGGCCAUUCCACAGGGAAAGAAAAGGUGAACGAGGAGUGGAAAACAACAGCCCUCCUUCUAAACUUUCUUCUGUGCACAACUACGAUUCUUUGGAAGAGUGUGGUUUUCUUUGAGCCUCGGGAAUUUCCAGGUCACUCACUGCAUACAGC
rnacentral:lncRNA from 1 species